GUGACUGUGUUGUAAUGGUAGCCUGCACGCUUGGUAUGCUUGCGGCGAGGGAUCGAUACCCUCCAGUCACCCCA
rnacentral:tRNA from 1 species